rnacentral:rRNA from 1 species
UACGAGGGGUGCAAGCGUUGCUCGGAAUCAUUGGGCGUAAAGGGUAGGUAGGUGGUCUCAUUUGUCUGGGGUGAAAGCCUUGAGCUUAACUCAAGAAGUGCCCCAGAAACGGUGAGACUAGAGUCCUGGAGAGGGUCGUGGAAUUCCCGGUGUAGCGGUGAAAUGCGUAGAGAUCAGGAGGAACACCAGAAGCGAAGGCGGCGACCUGGACAGGCACUGACACUCAACUACGAAAGCGUGGGGAGCAAACAGG